rnacentral:lncRNA from 1 species
GCCGGCAACGCCCGACGAGGGGAUAAGAGCUGCGCUGGACCUCCCCGCUCGCCAAAAUAUCUACCACUCCCCCCGCUUGCUCUCUUCUCCCCUCCCUGGUCCUCUCCGCCUCACCCCUCCCCCUCGCCAGAUCCAUCCCCGCCGAGCGCCGCCAUGGGCUCGCUCCGGUGAAGCUCGCGACCACCGGCCACUUCUCCCUCACCGUUGCGUCCACGACGACCGCCAUCGCCCGCUGCGUCCACUACGGAGACGAAGACCUGCCGGAACCCCCACCUUCGCCGGAUUCGCGUCGCCCUCGUCCGCUUCGGUCAUCGACCAUCUCCGUCAACUCCAACCGCCCCGCAGCUACUAAUCCGUCACCGGGCCCCCAUGCGCCCACACGGUGAGCUCCUGCGCCCCGCUCCCCUUUUCCUUCAUUGCCGUAGGCCGCGUCCCGCCUCCCCUAUCCGGAGCUGCACCGUCGCGCCCGAGCAUGCGCUUGGCCCGGCUCUGGCCGUCCUUGGUCGCUCCCACGCGCAACUGGCCCCUCCCCGCGCCCCCAUGCAUGCUUCUGCUGCCGCCCCUGUUGAACUGUUGCUGCGCGCCCGCCUCGCCGCUGCGUUGGCCGCUGCCGACUGCCGCCCGGCCUCGCAGCCACCGUCUGCUGCGUCGUCCGCCGUGACCCCCGCCAUGCCCGCGCGCCUCCGUGUCUGCCCGCCUGCGCGUGGCCUCGCCCCCGUGCGUGCUCCCGCGCGCCCCCUGGUCGCCCUGCCCCUGCGUGCCUGAGCUCCGGCCCUGCACAACGCGCGCCCGCGCCCAGUCGCGUUGUCCCGCUGCCUACUACCUUUACUGCUGAUGCCGCUGAAACUCUGCUAUUGUUACUUGCUUCCUACUGCUGCUUCUUGUUACUACUACGGAUGCAUAGCUGCUGCCGUCGCUGCUAUUCCUUAACUUCUGCCGCUGCGUUCGCUGCUCUGCUACCGCUGCUACAGUAACUGAAUGUUACUGUAGCGCUGGCUAGCUUUUGCUAUUUCCAUCUUCUUAGCUCUCUGGAUGGCAACAAAACUAUGGUCAAACCAAGUCUAACUUCGUUGAAAUUAAUUUGUGUUGGGAGUACACAUAGCAACCUCCAAAUUAUUCCAUUGGACCAAAUUCAAAUAUGGCAUGGAUUAAAUUCUAUAAAAAUCGCAAAAUGCUUUGUUGGAACAAAAGUAACCCCUAGCUAUGUGUGUUGCGUGUGUGUACGCAGCCACGGCUGGCUAUGCCACCGGCCGGCCCAUGGUUUAAUUAGGCUAGGAUUAAUUAGGGCUAGUUUAGGUAGGAUGUAAUUUAGUGCUAAUUAGUCUAUAUAAACAAUGCCAUGUGGCCCCCUAGUUUAAAUUAAUUUAGCCUAAGUAAUCUACACCUAUGUCCAUGACAUGUGGGCCACCACCUCUCCUUUUGACUAGUCACAUUGACUUGGUCAAUUCGGAUUUAAAUUAAACACAAAAUUCUAGAAUAUUGAUAAAACUUUGAAAAAUUAUAAAAAAUUAACCGUAACUCCGAUGGAAAAACUUUGUACAUGAAAGUUGCUCAGAACGACGAGACGAAUCCAGAUACGCGGCCCGUUCGUCCGCCAUGCAUCCCUAGCAUAGGGAACCUGCAACAUUUCACCUCCGGUUCAUUUGUCCGGAAUCGUGAAACACCGGGAAUACUUUCCCGGAUAUUUCCCCUCUUCGCCGGUAUCGCCUAUCCCUACGUUAGGUCACCCCAAGCACAACGUAUUGCCACGUCUUGCUUUGUGUUACAUUUGAUUGCUCUGUUAUUUAUUGUGUUCCCCCUCCGUUACUCCUUUCCGGUAGACUACGAGACCGACGCUGCUGCUGACCAGUUCGGCUACGGAGUUGACGACCCCUCUCUCUUGCCAGAGCAACCAGGCAAGCCCCCCCCCUUGAUCACCAGAUAUCGCCUAUUCUCCUCUAUACUGCUUGCAUUAGAGUAGUGUAGCAUGUUACUGCUUUCGUUAAUCCUAUUCUGAUGCAUAGCCUGACAUUGUCGCUACAUCUGUUGAUACCUUACCUGCAAUCCUAAAUGCUUAGUAUAGGAUGCUAGUUUAUCAUCAUUGGCCCUACAUUCUUGUCAGUCUGCCUUGCUAUACUAUCGGGCCGUGAUCACUUGGGAGGUGAUCACGGGUAUAUACUAUACAUACAUACAUACUAUACAGAUGGUGACUAAAGUCGGGUCAGCUCAUUGAGUACCCGCAAGUGCUUCUGACGAGGGGGCUGAAAGGACAGGUGGCUCCAUCCCGGUAGAGGUGGGCCUGGGUUCCCGACGGCCCUCGACUGUUACUUUGUGGCGGAGCGACAGGGCAGGUUGAGACCACCUAGGAGACAGGUGGGCCUGGCCCUGUUCGGCGUUCGCGGAUACUUAACACGCUUAACGAGAUCUUGGUAUUUGAUCUGAGUCGGCUACGAGCCUAUACGCACUAACCAUCUACGUGGGAGUAGUUAUGGGUAUCCCGACGUCGUGGUAUCAGCCGAAGCACUUCAGACGUCAGCGACGGAGCGGCGCGCGCCGGAUUGGAACGUAAGCCUGCUCUUGUAUUAAGGGGGCUAGUUCCGCUUUCGGCCGCGUACGCAACGUGCAGGUGUGCUAUGGGCGAUGGGCCCAGACCCCUGUGCGCUUAGGUUUAGACCGGCGUGCUGGCCUCUCUGUUUUGCCUAGGUGGGGCUGCGACGUGUUGAUCUUCCGCGGCCGGGCAUGACCCAGGAAAGUGUGUCCGGCCAAAUGGGAUCAAGCGUGUUGGGUUAUGUGGUGCACCCCUGCAGGGAAGUUAAUCUAUUCGAAUAGCCGUGAUCUUCGGUAACAAGACGACUUGGAGUUGUACCUUGACCUUAUGACAACUAGAACCGGAUACCUAAUAAAACACACCCUUCCAAGUGCCAGAUACAACCGGUGGUCGCUCUCCCUCAGGGAUACGGGGGGAGGAUCGCCGGGCAGGAUAUGCUAUGCGAUGCUACUUGGAGGACUUCGACCUACCCUCUUCUGCCUGUUGCAAGACGAAGGUGACCAGAAGUGUAGUCUUCGAUAGGACUAGCUAUCCCCCUCUUAUUCUGGCAUUCUGCAGUUCAGUCCACUGAUAUGGCCUUCUUACACAUAUACCCAUGCAUAUGUAGUAUAGUUCCUUGUUUGCGAGUACUUUGGAUGAGUACUCACGGUUGCUUUCUCCCCCCUUUUUUUUCCCCCUUUCCUUUCUUCCUGGUUGUCGCAACCAGAUGCUGGAGCCCUGGAGCCAGACGCCACCGUCGACGACGACUACUACACUGGAGGUGCCUACUACUACGUGCAGCCCGUUGACGACGACCAGGAGUAGUUAGGAGGAUCCCAGGCAGGAGGCCUGCGCCUCUUUCGAUCUGUAUCCCAGUUUGUGCUAGCCUUCUUAAGGCAAACUUGUUUAACUUAUGUCUGUACUCAGAUAUUGUUGCUUCCGCUGACUCGUCUAUGAUCGAGCACUUGUAUUCGAGCCCUCGAGGCCCCUGGCUUGUAUUAUGAUGCUUGUAUGACUUAUUUUAUUUGUAGAGUUGUGUUGUGAUAUCUUCCCGUGAGUCCCUGAUCUUGAU